UACGUAGGGGGCAAGCGUUUGUCCGGAAUCAUUGGGCGUAAAGAGCGCGUAGGCGGCCCUGUAAGUCCGCUGUGAAAGUCAAGGGCUCAACCCUUGGAUGCCGGUGGAUACUGCAGGGCUAGAGUCCGGAAGAGGCGAGUGGAAUCCUGGUGUAGCGGUGAAAUGCGCAGAUAUCAGGAGGAACACCGAUGGCGAAGGCAGCUCGCUGGGACGGUACUGAGCUAAGGCGCGAAAGC
rnacentral:rRNA from 1 species